rnacentral:rRNA from 1 species
GCAUAUCAAUAAGCGGAGGAAAAGAAACCAACAGGGAUUGCCUCAGUAACGGCGAAGUGAAGCGGCAACAGCUCAAAUUUGAAAUCUGGCUCUCGGGCCCGAGUUGUAAUUUGCAGAGGAUGUUUCUGGCGAGGUGCCUUCCGAGUUCCCUGGAACGGGACGCCAUAGAGGGUGAGAGCCCCGUCCGGUUGGUCGCUAAGCCUCUGUGAAACUCCUUCGACGAGUCGAGUAGUUUGGGAAUGCUGCUCUAAAUGGGAGGUAUACGUCUUCUAAAGCUAAAUACCGGCCAGAGACCGAUAGCGCACAAGUAGAGUGAUCGAAAGAUGAAAAGCACUUUGAAAAGAGGGUUAAAUAGUACGUGAAAUUGUUGAAAGGGAAGCGUUUAUGACCAGACUUGGGCCGGUUGAUCAUCCAUCGUUCUCGGUGGUGCACUCUGCCGGCUCAGGCCAGCAUCAGUUUGGCUUGGGGGAUAAAGGUUUCGGGAAUGUGGCUCCCUCGGGAGUGUUAUAGCCCGUUGCGUAAUACCCUGGGCUAGACUGAGGUUCGCGCUCCGCAAGGAUGCUGGCGUAAUGGUCAUCAGCGACCCGUCUUGAAACACGGACCAAGGAGUCGUCUUCGUAUGCGAGUGUUCGGGUGUCAAACCCCUACGCGUAAUGAAAGUGAACGUAGGAGAGAGCUUCGGCGCAUCUCCGACCGAUCCUGAUGUUCUCGGAUGGAUUUGAGUAAGAGCAUACGGGGCCGGACCCGAAAGAAGGUGAACUAUGCCUGUAUAGGGUGAAGCCAGAGGAAACUCUGGUGGAGGCUCGCAGCGGUUCUGACGUGCAAAUCGAUCGUCAAAUAUGGGCAUGGGGGGCGAAAGACUAAUCGAACCUUCUAGUAGCUGGUUUCCGCCGA